rnacentral:rRNA from 1 species
AUUGAACGCUGGCGGCAUGCUUUACACAUGCAAGUCGAACGGUAACAGGGUGCUUGCACCGCUGACGAGUGGCGAACGGGUGAGUAAUACAUCGGAAUGUACCCAGUAAUGGGGGAUAACGCUUCGAAAGGAGUGCUAAUACCGCAUAAUGUCGCAAGACCAAAGCGGGGGACUUUCGGGCCUCGCACCAUCAGAUGAACCCAGAUGGGAUUAGCUAGUAGGUAGGGUAAUGGCUUACCUAGGCGACGAUUCCUAGCUGGUCUGAGAGGAUGACCAGCCACACUGGAACUGAGACACGGUCCAGACUCCUACGGGAGGCAGCAGUGGGGAAUAUUGCACAAUGGGCGCAAGCCUGAUGCAGCCAUGCCGCGUGUAUGAAGAAGGCCUUCGGGUUGUAAAGUACUUUCAGUCAGGAGGAAGGGUGUGAAAUUAAUACUUUCAUGCAUUGACGUUACUGACAGAAGAAGCACCGGCUAACUCCGUGCCAGCCGCCGCGGUAA